rnacentral:lncRNA from 1 species
UUAGGAGAAACAGCUGCCUCUCCUGCUCUUGAGAGUGUGACCCUGUGUGGAAGCAUCUUCUCUGUCAUCUGCAUGUUCGAAGCAACUUUAGCAGGCCAACUGGUGCUGGAACAGAUGCAGACUGAAGGAGUUCCAGUGUCCGCUACAUUGGGCCACCUUAUUGGGAUACUGGCUCACAAUACAUUUUAAGAGGAAGUCAUCAGCAUUUUAAUCCUCUACAAGAACCAUAGACACCCACGCAGCUGUUGUCAGAAGAAAAGGUAAGAAAAACAAUUUUUUUUCCAACAGCAGAAAAGAAUUUGAAUUACUACUUCUUUUAGUCACUUAUUUUUCUCACUCAUGUGCAGUAUUUUCUUUAACUUGGGUACCGCGUUUUGGUUACUAAUAACUGCUGAUCUGUCCUGAAUGAAUGGAUUAGUUUAUAGGAAAGAUUUGCAUGAUAGAGAAUCAAUAGGGCAAGUUUAAAUCCCUUGCUGGUGUGGAGAGAGGAAACAAAUUAAUCUGGUGAUUGUUGAUAAAUUGUGAGCAGAGAAGUGAAAAAAUAUAUUUUUUGGGGGGAAAAAUGAUCGUCUGUAAUGUCAAAAGUGAAAAAUACCAGGAAAAUUCAAGUAAGGGAUCCUAAGCCUCUGCUUUAUCCCACACUCAUAAAAACUGAUUUGAGCUGAUGUUGGAUUCUAUCCAUUAAUAGAGAAAAAAUGACUUUCACAAUUAACUCCUUAUAUGAAUAAGGAGUUUUGCCCAAUAUGAAGUGGUAUACCUGGAUGUUAUAUGUGUGAGGCUACUUUAAGAGAGUCUUAACCCAUAAAUAAGGGAAAGAAGGGAGGAAAGGAC